rnacentral:lncRNA from 1 species
UGUUCCUGGCUCCUGCAGGCUCUAUGGAGCCACAGCCCUGGCUGGGCCUCCCCCGCUGCAGCCAGUAUUUUCACAGUGGCUGCUCCAGAUGGGUCACUGCUGCCAUCAAUGUCAGAUGUUUCCUGGUAUUUAGCUUCAGAAUGUUUCCUUUUAUGCAUCUGAAACAUUGUCAUUUCUUGGAGACUCUAAUGUGGCUUUAAAAAAAGAGGAUCACUCUGUCCCCAACUGUUACCUGCUCUCCAAGGGAGAGCUCAACCCCAGGAAAUUGGAAGAUCUGGCAACCGAAACCUAAUGAAACUUGAGAUCAACUUGCUGCCACUGAAUAUAACCCUAUGGAGCUGAGGAAAUCACUACUGCCCCCUGUUGGACUCGGUUGGAACAGUCAUUUUCUUGUUUUGAGAUGUGCAUAUUAGUUGCAAAUAAUUCUUAGUUUCUGUCUGUAGUUACACAAAGUUUGUGCUUUAAGUACAGUUUCCACUCUGUUGAUGCUGAAACAAGUUUUUCAAGUAGAUCUGGUUUGGAAUUUGUUCUCUCCUUCCCCAAGUUCCAGAGAUGCUCAACCCCUUCCACUAUCACCAAGAUAACUUCCUUUGCCAAACUAGCAAACAUGUCCAGUUAAAUCAUAAAUUGAACUUAACGUCAACCUCCCAUGGACGCAUUACACAUUACACAUUACAGAUGCCAUUAAUGUGCACAUAUUACACAUUACUUCCUUUGCCAAACUAGCAAACACGUCCAGUUAAUGAUAAAUUGAACUUAAUGUUGACCUCCCACGGACACAUUACAAAGACGUAAUAAUCAAUGUCACAAUUUUCCCUACAAAUCCUACUCAUUGGGUGUGAGAUCUAUCACAAAAAGUUUGUAGAACCUCCCUUCCUGGGAGUUGGUUAAUUUGAGAGAGGUCAUCUCAAAUGGAUCAAAUUCAGGUGUAUCAAAUGGCAGGGAGGAAGAAAUAGACGACUCCUCAGACUCCAUCAAUUACAUUUUUAUUUGUUAUAUCUCAUUCUCUACUUUGCCAGGGAGAACAUAUGAAAUUGGACUUGCAAAGAUGGCGAACCAUCUCUUCCAAAGAGUGUAGAGCGAUACUCCCAUCCCUGCAUCUGACCAUGAACCUGACCCUUUUUAUAGCCCCCACAGUAAAAGCCAA